UUCCCUAUCUUUUUCUCAACUGAUUUAUUUUCCUAGAUGCAAUGCUCUCAUUCUUAUUAACCAUAAUCUUGCUUCAAACACUAUUGAAAUCGUCUUCCAUUACCAAUUUUCUUACAUGUUUGGUAAUUAAUUCCUAACACUCAAAGCAAUUAUCACUCUCCAAUAGCGACGCCAAAAUGUGAUUGCUCGUUUUAUUUAUUCCAAAUUAAUCUAAUGGAAAUAAAUCCGUAUAGGGGGAUUCAAACAUAGGAAAUUACUAGUUGCUUAAGCAUUCACGUUAAGGUCAUACAAUCAAUUAUCUCCUGAAUAUAUCGUCUCUAUUUCCAAUAUCUGAACACACAUAGAAACUAUAAUCUCCUCCUUCACCUUAUCGAUCUCUUCCUUAUAGCAAUUUAGUCAUACCAAUAACUGCUAUUUCUACCAAUAUAUUCACUCUCAUAAUCUCUAAUUGUAAUACUAUGCCCUCACAGCUUUUUACACACAAUUAUCCUCAUUCCAAUCACUAUAAUUCUUCACACAGAACUGCCAUUCACAUUACUGUGUUUCACACAAACACAGACUCAUUCUCUCUGCUAAACUACAAUCAAAUUUUACCAUUCAAUUUCUUCUUCUCAAAUAAUACCAAUCACAUUUCUAUUCCAAAAUUCACUUUACAAUAUUCAGAAACUCUCAAUC
rnacentral:lncRNA from 1 species